rnacentral:lncRNA from 1 species
CACUCCUAAUGCAAAACUUACUAAUUUUUAAAAUAAAGCUAUCCAAGUAAAAAAACAGUACAAUGUAGUCCUAUCAAUUCUACGAUUUUUCUAACAUUUAGCCCUUUGUGACAAAUGUUGACAACUUCAGUGAGCCCCUAGUCCGUUAACGUCAAAACUUGGAAUUCUUUUAAAAUUCUUAAACAAUUUACUGAAAAAAAAAACAAAAAAAACUUCUUAAAGAUUUUUGGAAUUCUUUAAAAAUUCUUAAAAAUGACUCCUUAAAAACUGAAGUAUGUUCAAAAUAGGAAAAGUAUAAUGAUUAUUUCCUAGUAUAUUCUAAAAAUAAUUCAAAAGUAGACCUAAAUUUUGAAAAGCUAACUUGGAAAUACAGUGGAAAGACUGUCCCCUGACAAUGAAACUCUUAGAUAAACUCAUAAUGGAACCGAGAAUAGCAAAGCAGCCACCUCAAAAGCAGAGACCUCCCAGGCCAGCAGGACUUGACAUUAACCUGAUUACAACUAUUAACACAUCUAAAAAAAGAAUGCAUUACUCAGAAGAAGGCUUAGCCAAAUACAGAAACACAAAAUAGAUAGGAUUGCAAUACUGAAUAUUAUAUAAGUGCAUUUAACCUCUUUCCAAGACAGCAGGUGCUUAGAUGCUGAUCCCUGACUAUAUUAUUACCUGAACCAAUUUUAAGGCUAUACCUAGUGUGAAGAUAAAAGUGUUCAAGGACAAAAUGGAUGUCUCCUGUUAUUGACAUGCUGUGGCUGAUGUCUAUUUCAUGAGCUGUCAUUUCAUCUGGAUCUACUACUAAGCAGGAACUGAAGAUUUUUUUUCUUACUGGGUUUGAGGGAAGCCCAGUAGAAGCCCUGCUCAUUCACCUCCAUCUGAUACCCAGUAGUAGAUUAGUGAUAAUCCACCAAUCCUCAGGCCAGGUCAACCAUCCUACAGGUUUUAGCUAAAGAACCUCCACCUCUGUCACCUUUGCAAAGCUUCUGUCAGCUUGCCUUCAGACUGCAAAUACCCACCACCUCUCCCACAGGGCAGGGAGGGCAGCUGGAUUCCUUUUAUAGCACACUUGCUGAGUGGUAGAGAAGUGCUAACUCUAUCCCACCCUCUGUUGCUUGAGGUUGUUAGGGGAAUACUCUACAAGGUUAUCUUCUCUCCUUAUCCCAAAUAGAAACUUGAGACAAAAGAUCCUUUUCUAUCUGAAUUCACUGAUUAUUGUUUCAUAUUCUAAUAAGACUUGGUUUUCUGGUCAUCCCUAGAUCUUCCCACUAUUUUUUUCCAAAAAUCCCUCAGUCUGAAUGGAGUGGGUGUUCCACCACUUUUAGAAAAUAUAAUAAUACAAACACCUAAAAUAAUAAGAGCUCUAUAAUCUAGGCCACCAAGAAUGUUUCCUCUCUGGAAAAAUCUUUGAUUGUAAACCCUGGCAAAAACAAGAAAUGGUGUUUUCUUUUUCUUUUUUCUUCCUGACACAACAGUCUUCACCUACUACAUUUCAAUCACUAGAGAGAAGAUUAGGUACAUAAAAAUGCAGAAGAAAACAUAUUACAUAUUUAAAAAGUAGUACUUUAAGGAGCUCCUAUUGUGGUGCAGUGGGUUAAGGAUCUGGAGUUUCUGCAGCUGUGGCUCAGAUUUGAUCCCUGGCCUGGAGGGAACUUCCAUAUGCAGGUAUUAAUUACUUGAUGUAUUAUUUGCUAUAUACAUAUUCUCUACACGUUAUUUAAUUUGAAUUGACAACGAAUUAAAAAUAUAGGUAAUUGUCCCAAAGUGAGAUAUCAAGCCAAGCAGCUUGAGAAUUCAAUUAGCAAAUGUCAUUUGUAAAUGUCCAUAAAGGUCUGAACUAAAGUAGGAAAAAAGCAUAAUAAUCAACACAGAGGAAGAGGACUGAUCUGUGAGACAUUUGAUGAGCCUAAAAUUCUCCCAGAGAAGAGGAGACCUUCUAGUCUUCAUUGUUUAUUUAUAAUAAUAAUUCCUGAAUCUAGCACUUAAGAUGCUAUCUUUGAUGAAGCAAUAGAACAAUAAAUAUUUUCAAUAUUACUCAUGAAAUACUCCCAAGUCAUAACCUAUCAUAUCAUAUUUAUCUUAUAUAAUUUCCAAUUAAUGAUAAAAAGCAUCUGAAGACCAACGUGUUAAGGAUUGCUUAUUCAGAAAGAAUUCAUUUUUGUUGAUUAAAAGAAAUUGUUGUGUGGCUUAUGCAAUAUUCCAGAAUUGUUUUUCCCCAAGUAAGUAAAAAUUUGAGUCACCUUGACCUUUUGUAAUAAGAUUAUGCCACAUACACAACUGUUCCAUCUGUUUCCGCCUUCAGUUUUAACAAUAGCUCCAUUUAAAUUUUUGUGUCUUGGUAAUUAUUGCACCACAAGGCAAAGAAACAGCAAAAAUAAAUGAGAUAUUGCUUUGCCCUGGAUGGUUAUAUCAUGAUUCAAGGUAACAUUCAGGUGACAUUACAAGUUGUCAGAGCAGCAGUGAACCAUACUUCAGGAAGGGGGAAAAAAAAAUGUGUGAAGGAUGUUUAUUUCCCUAUCCAAUAUAAGUGACAAGGUUGAAAUAAGGAUAGUGGUGUGUCUAUGAAAAUAUAUCGCUAUUUAAGGAAUCCUUUUAUUAGACACAGUAGAAGUGCUAUCUUAGAGAAGCCACCCAUACUGUGGGUAAUUAUCACAAUCCAGCAUGCUAAUUGCUUUUUGAUCUGCAGGCUGUGCUUUCAAUGAGUCUUAUUGAGGACUGCUGGCUGUACCAAGACUGCUACUUAAUAAGAAUAGCCCUUAUCAAAGGAUUGCAUCAUCUCUGACUAUCAAAUCUAUAGGAAAGCAUUAGCUAAGGCUUUAAAGUGUGGAAACAUUUUGGUCAAUAGACUUUUGCUCAAAUACUGCAUAUUUCAGGAUCAUUCCUAGAAGCCAUCACAUUCCCAACGUCUAUGAAUAAUCAGCAUGUGAAACAUAGGGGAAAGUAAUGAGCAAGGGUCAGCCAGGGUCUUCUUUCUACUGAAAGCUAAUUUGAGUACAGUGAUACACCAAAUGCUCUUUGGAACUUCAGUAUGAAAUGAGAUACUUUCCUAGGAUACAGUGGACAUUUCAGACAAUUGGGCCUAGAUAUUAAGAUAAUAUGAAUUUACUAACCUAUGUAUGUAUAAAUAUAAAUAUAUAUGCAUUUCGUAUUUACAAUGUGUGAAACUUUGUGCUUUUUACUGUGUGUGAAUUUAAUUUAAUACAGCAAUCCUACAAGUGUGUGAUUUUUUCACAUUUCUAGAAUAAGCAAACUGAUAUAGAAAACAAUUUUUAAAAAGUAAAUGUUCUAAUGUUUUAUAUUAAGUGACAAUAUCAAAGUUCAAUGCAUGCUGCGAUGGCUUCAGAACUCAUGCUUAGUACAGAUUUUUUAAUUACUAUAUGUUUACAUACACUAUAAUUAUAUAUAUAAUGACACUCAACAAAUAGAGAAUUAUAAUGAAAAGCAGUGUUUAAAUUUACCAGAUUCAAUGUACCAUUUAUAAUAUAUAUUUUGAAUGUCCCCUUUAACAUGCCAAAAUUCAGUUUAGAGAGAAUAAUCUGACCUUAUAAUUUAUUAAUAAAGGCAAUUUAAUGCUACCUUUGAAAGAUAAGGAAAAAUUAAAGCAUGCUAUAUAAAAAUCCUACUCUACAACAGAAAUUUUUAGGCACAGGGAGGCAUGAGCCAUAAAGAAGAAAAUAUACACCACAUAUAGAAUGAGCAUGAGCACAGCAUUUUAUAUGGAUAACAAGUUUGAGUAAAGUUUGAAUAAACAAAGUAUAAUCUUACCUUGAUUUUUUAGGUAGCUGCAUUCCUGAGAAAGACUCAACAUGAGGAUGUGUUCAUAUUUUUUAAAGAAUCAAAUUUCAAGGUUAGACACAAUAGAUUUUUCACCUACACGAAUAUAAAGAAGGAUAUUUUGCUAAUUGCAGUGCUCAGAAUAUUAAUUUCUGUGCUAGAUUGGUUAGUAACUACUGUGCAUCAAAUAAUUCCACCUAAAAAUGCCCCUGGUAACUCCUAUUCAUUAGGACAAAUAAACCUCUUCAAUUUCCAAAAGAUUUUGGAAAGGGUAAUGCAUUAUUUUAUUUACUUACAUAGGUAUGUAUGUAUGUAUAUGUAUUUUGCGUAUGUGCACAUACAGGUUAUAAUACAUAUGGAGUCAUUGUAUUCAAUUGAUUCUAUGACAAAUUUUCACCUAAUCUUAAAGAGUUUUCCAAUGCUAUACAACUUAUAAAUCAGCCUCACUAUUUUUAACACUGGGGUAAUAUCUUGGAGGAUGUAUUGCCAUAAUUAUUUAACCAUUACCAUAUUGACAGGAACAGUACUUUCAUCUUUCUAUUAUUUUUUCUAUUUAUUUCUUACAUCUUUCUAAAAGUUAUUUUUAUUAUUUUCUUCUUUCUGGUCUUUUGUGGUUUUUUUUGUCUUUUUUUUUAGGGCCUCUCCCAUGGCAUAUGGAGGCUCCCAGACUAGGGGUCCAAUUGGAGCUUUAGCCACCAGUCUACCACGCAGUCAUAGCAACACAGGAUCCCAGCCACAUCUGCUAUAGCUCACAGCAACGCUGGAUCCUUAACCCACUGAGCGAGGCCAGGGAUUGAACCUGCAACGUCUUGGUUACUAGUCAGGUUUGUUAACAACUGAGCCACGAUGGAAACUCCUCUUCUUUCUGAGUUUCUUUAUCUAACUUACUUAGGUUAUUAUCAAAUUAAUGCAAUACUUGCCUUUUUAUAUUGUAACCAUUAGUACUAAGUGUACCUAUAGUGAUAGAGCUUGACAGAGUGUAUCAUAGUCACACUCAGAUAACAUAAUUCUUUGUAAAAGUGGCUAUUUCAGUGGGGAUGAUAGGGACAAUUCUUCCUGAAUCCUUUAUUUCCUAAAGAGUCCAGUUCUCUGAGCUUAGGUAUUCACGGCCAAUUAAGAAUGACUUGUAUACUGAUAUGUGUUCCAUCACAGUGAAUUUAGAUAUAUUUCACUGUGUAAAGCUUUUUUAGGGUAAUAAAGAUAAAUACUUGUCUGCACUCCCCCUGGAGAAAAAUUGCUUACACU